AUCCUUUGGUUCAUGAGUGUGAUGAUUGGGUGUUCAUGCCUUAUGCAUGAGAUGUGCCUCCCUCAAACUUUGCCACAAGGGGCUGAGGAGAUGGCUCAGUAGGAUA